AUCAUAGCCCGACGAAAUUCUCCGUUCUGUUCGUGUGACCUCGGCAGUACAACUAUAGCUCAAUUAAUCGUCAUCGGCAAACCAGACCAGCGACGGAAAAUAUUACAUCCAUCGCAGAUCAGAUCGUAGUAUGGCGCUCUUGCUCGCGUUAAUCUCGACCCGGUUUCAUCCUCAGGGACUCCAGUUGAGCCGGGAAGAAGCGGCCGUCAGAUCAAGGAGCUAGGCAGGAGCAUCUUCUGUCCAGGCAAGGGCGCAAGGCAGGGGACCGGUCGACCGGGGCCGGCGCCAUGGCUGUGACGCAGAGCACGCAGCUCGGCCUCGCCACCGCGUUGUUCGGCGUCCUCUCCUUCGUCCUCACCGACCUCAAGAAAGUACUGUGUCUUCUGUUUUGCUUGCCUCUGUUCUCGCUGCCUGCUGAAAAACUACCGAGGUGAACUGAGCGACUGCAGAGAUCGAGAUAUGGGGAAUUAAUUCCAUCAUUAUA